AGUCUAUUCAGAGGAACCUGUCCUGUAAUUGAUAAUCCACGAUGUACCUCACUUAAAUUUGUUUUUCAGUUUAUAUACCGUCGUUAUCAGAAUAUUUUAUUAGAAUAAUAAUUUUCUAUAAUUUUUAUAAGAAUUUAUAUCAGAUCAAGGUGUAGCUUAUGUUUAAGUAGAGAUGGGUUACAAUAAAUUUAUUUAAACGGAUCUAAUUUUGAAAUGUUUAGUGAAGGUGGAUUUGAUAGUAAAAUUUUAAAGAUUGUUAAUUUGAUUUUAGCUCUAGAAUAUGCACACAUCGCCCGUCGCUCUUGCUAUUAAGGCAAGAUAAGUCGUAACAUAGUAGAUGUACCGGAAGGUGUAUCUAGAAUGA
rnacentral:rRNA from 1 species